rnacentral:tRNA from 1 species
AGCAGCGUGGCUCAGUGGAAAGAGCACGGGCUUGGGAGUCAGAGGUCAGGGGUUCGAAUCCCAGCUCUGCCA